CAGUAAACUAGGAUUAGAUACCCUAUUAUUUUAGAAUGUUAAUUUUUGUGCCUGAGUAGUAUUAGUUAUGUUCUUGAAACUUAAAGAAUUUGGCGGUAUCUCAUUCCGUCCAGAGGAAUCUGUCCCGUUAUCGAUAGUCCGCGCUGGACCUUACUUAUUUGAUUUUGGUUUGUAUACCGCCGUUUAUUGAUUAUCUUUUUAGGGUUUAUUUAAUUUUCUGGUUUCUUUAUUUUGAUGUAUUUCAGGUCAAGGUGCAGCUUGUUUUUAAGUGGAAUGAUGGAUUACAUUGUUAUUUGUUUAUGGAUUGUUAGUUUUAAUAUUGGCAUGAAAUUGGAUUUGGUUGUAAUGGUUUGUAGAUUGUUAUUAUGAUAAUUGGUUCUGGGAUAUGCACACAUCGCCCGUCGCUCUUGGUCAUA
rnacentral:rRNA from 1 species